UACGUAGGGUGCAAGCGUUAAUCGGAAUUACUGGGCGUAAAGCGCGCGUAGGCGGCUUUGCAAGUCGGGUGUGAAAUCCCCAGGCUUAACCUGGGAACUGCAUUCGAGACUGCAUUGCUAGAGUAUGGGAGAGGGAAGUGGAAUUUCCGGUGUAGCGGUGAAAUGCGUAGAUAUCGGAAGGAACAUCAGUGGCGAAAGCGACUUCCUGGACCAAUACUGACGCUCAUGUGCGAAAGCGUGGGGAGCAAACAGGAUUAGAAC
rnacentral:rRNA from 1 species